ensembl:lncRNA
CUGAAUGUCACAGUAAGUACAGCUGAGUGCAACAGAUGGGUGACCUGGUGCUUCAAGGAGAGACACUACUGUUCGCUACAGGUAAGUGGACAUUUAUCCUUUUUUUAGGUUUGCAAACAUUAAUGAGUCAUUUAAAAAUAUAUAAAAAAUGAGCAAAACAUAAUUAACUUAUUGUUAGAGUGUGUAACUGUAAGUCUAAACAAGUUAAAGUACUUAUUUAAAUGGUCUGAAAUAAACGUUUCUCUGUUUCUUUUUGUAGCAGACCCAGUGGUUGGUCACUAAUCGUCUGUGGUAAUUAAAUAAAACCAUGCAGAGGACUUAUAGUAACUUACAACUCUAUAGACCCAUCAAAGAGAGGAGCUGCGUGAGUCCAUCCCUCUCCCCUUGCAGGAGCCUAUCUUCCCCCUCCAAAACCCCCGCCAGCUUCCAACAAAAACUGUCUUCUAAGCACUGGGAGGAGGGUCCAGCUGAAACAGCUGACUUUAAAGAAACCCUCAAAGCAUUGGAUGACUCAUCUGAGAGCCGCUGGCUUACAGAAUUGUUACCGUUGUGUUCAGAUUGCCAGGCUUUCAUGAGCAUGGGCAACCAACUGGGAACCAAACCUAAGCCAAAUUGUCACAGUUACACAGAAACUUGGGAUGCUUUAUCAAACUCCCCCAGAGUCCAGAUAUCUUGGAAGAGAAGAAGAAGAGCUGAGGGGCAUGUUUACACCAGUGACCUUCAGGAUAACCUCAAGAUGGUAUCCGGGACUCUACGGGCACCUCUGAAGGCAAGGAGACUGAGGAAACUCCAGAGGUUGAGGUCUUCUUCCUUUGAGGAGUGGGAGUGUGAAGAAGAGAGAUCCAUCAUCUGCACUCCCACAGUAAGAAGGAAGAAAAUUAUUAGGAGAGAAAGAGAUGAUAUAAAUACUUUAACGCACGAGUUAAAGCCACUCUGGAGAGUAAAGUUGCCUAAUACUUCUUCUGCAAGCUUAUCGAGAUCAAAGAGCAAAACAGUCCAUCUCUUUCCCAGACAGAAUAUGUCUGAAGAGGAAAAAUAUACUCCUACUGACUCGGACACUGACCUUUCUGAAUAUGACAAUGAGAUGUACUCAAUGUUUUUCUCCAACACUUGUAUGGAGGCAAAGAGUAACAAGACUGCAAGCCAAAAACAAGACGAAGAGAAGGCAGACAUAAAGUCCUCUCAGCAGAGGUUUGAGUUGAUGGGGCAGAGAGCUGCAGCUCAGCGAGUAAUGGGCAAGAUUGAGGAGGUGGAAGGAAUAAUACGCCGGGUGAGUCUCACCAGUUUGGACUGGAUCAAGGAAUGUCAUAAAGGAGAAGAAGAACCUCACUUUCUCUCAGAUGGGUGGAAGACAGAGGUGUCACUGCAGAAAAGUCGCGGAGCUGAAAUCAGUACUCAGUCCCCACUGGAGGACCAGAACAGGGAGUCCAGUGAAGACAAGCCUCUGUUUGUUGAGGAGCUUUGUGCUCUGGGUGAUGCUCUGAGACGGAGUCUGCAGCAGGCCCUGAGGAUGGAGGGAUCAAAAGCAGAGAGUGAAGGCUUUAAAGAGCCCGAGGAGACUUUUUGUGAGCAGAGCCACACAACAGAAGGGUCUCUGAAUCCACAAUCACCUCCUUUCCUCAUCGCCUCUGUUGUGCCAAACAGUGCCUCCUCACAUCCUCUUUCAGCAGGUGGAAAAAUCUCCCCUCUCUCUGAAAUCCUGGAGGUUUCUCCAAUUACAUCAAGCAGCUUAGAAAGACUGUCCCCCAUGCUGCCGCCUAUGCUCAUAUCCAGACUGAGCACAACUGAUCAGGAGGCAGAAACAUCACACAGAGUUUGGACCGAACCACUUGAAGACACCACAGUUAUUUGUGGGGCUCGAGACUGUGAAUGUGCCAGAGAAAGUGAUCACAGGGACACUCAGGAGCAGUUUACAGAGAAGGAUUAUCUGCUCUCUUCAGAUGAAGCUUUGCAGAGGCAGGAGGAGAUCUGGCAGCAGGAGAUCGAGGAGUCUCUCUCUAUCUGCAGGUCACUUUCCGAUCCAUCCAGACCCAAACACAUUGAUUUCCUGCGCAUCACUGCCCCCGAUGAUGACAUCACUGACACACCCACACCCACACCUGUGCCCCAGGAUUUGAGGGUGAGUAGAAUGAAAAGAAUGUGCUUUGAGCUCAUCUCACCACAGCACACAGUUUUAGAGUCUAAAGGUGGAUGACGAGGUGAUGGAGCAGUUGAAAACAGCAGCCACUGUUGCAAAGUAGAAAUGGCACUGGUAUGUCAGUUGUAGGAUCGAGAGGCUGUGUUCUGUAUAUGGCAUUAGGAGAGUGAGGCAUGUAAGCAUGGAGCUCUACUAGCUCAGAAUCAGAAUCAGAUUCAGAAUACUUUAUUACUUGCAGUCUGUGCUCUAUAUUUAAGAGCAAAAAAAUAAUCAGUGAGAAAAUAUUUUUACCUCAACUGCAUUGAGAGUGCGGUUAACUGCUGUGAUUAACGGCUCAUUGUGUAAAAAUACAAAAGCUGCUUUUCCCAGAACGUAAUUUAAUUUUAGUAUACUGCACACACUCUUCAUUCUGCAUGUGUGAAAAGUUACAAAGUGCCGUUAUUGUGAUGCCUCAAUCUAAUUUCAGUGCCGUUGUUCUCUGUAAACCUUCCUGAAAUAAGUCCCCGUCUGCAUCAGUCAGUGCUGCAUCACUAUGACAAUGAGCUUGUCCUUGCUUCACAAUUGUGUAAGUCCCAGCCUCAUGAGCCAGUCCAGGGCUACAAAGAGCUCUGUGUUCCCUGUAGUUGCAUAACAGAAGGGAUUUAACGCAACUCUGUAAGUGCAUUGUAGGAGAGAUGAUAAGCACUAAUAAAUUGAAUACUCCCUUCCUUCUGUGUGCGUGCAUGACUAACUUUGCUGAAAACAUUUGAAGUUUUGUUUAUUUGUUUUGGCAUUUUGAAUCUUUAUUUGACAGUAUGGAGAGAAAAAAGGAAAGCAGAGAGAAACAGGCAGGAAAUCAUCUGGGACAGACUCAAACCCAGUCUCCGGCAGUAGCCUUUGGCAUUUGGCUCACAUGCUCAACAAGGUGAACUAUGGCAGCACCCCAAGUGGUGUUUUAUUGUGAGGUACAGUAUA